CCUGGUUGAUCCUGCCAGUAGUCAUAUGCUUGUCUCAAAGAUUAAGCCAUGCAUGUGUAAGCACACACUGUUUUAAAAGUGAAGCCGCGAAUGGCUCAUUACAACAGCCACAGUUUAUUAGAACUUACAAUCAUGGAUAACUGUGGUAAUUCUAGAGCUAAUACACGCACAAAAACUUCAACUGAAUUGGUUGAAGUGCUUUUAUCAGAACAAAAACCGAACGGCGUUUGACGAAUGUUGAACGUCGAAACUGUUUGGUGAAUCUGAAUAACUAUUUCUGAUCGCAUGGUCUAGCACCGGCGACAUCACUUUCAAGUGUCUGCCUUAUCAACCUUCGAUGGUAGUCUAUGCGACUACCAUGGUGAUAACGGGUAACGGAGAAUCAGGGUUCGACUCCGGAGAGGGAGCCUGAGAAACGGCUACCACAUCCAAGGAAGGCAGCAGGCGCGCAAAUUACCCACUCCCAGCUUGGGGAGGUAGUGACGAAAAAUAACGAGACGAUUCUCGUUUGAGAAACGUUAUCGAAAUGAGUACGCUUUACACACGCUAACGAGUAGCAAUUGGAGGGCAAGUCUGGUGCCAGCAGCCGCGGUAAUUCCAGCUCCAAUAGCGUAUAUUAAAGUUGCUGCGGUUAAAACGCUCGUAGUUGAAUUGUGGUCUUAGACAACAGUCCCCCUACAAAGGUGUGGCACGGUUGCUCGAGAUCUUCAUUCGUGGUUGCUGUUGUUGCUCUUCAUUGAGUGUCAAUGGUGCCUCGAGAUUUUACUUUGAAAAAAUUAGAGUGCUCAAAGCAGGUUGUGAUGCCUGAAUAAUGGUGCAUGGAAUAAUAGAAUACGAAUCUCGGUUCUAUUUUGUUGGUUUUCGAACCGGAGAUAAUGAUUGAAAGGAACAGACGGGGGCAUUCGUAUUGCUGCGUUAGAGGUGAAAUUCUUGGAUCGCAGCAAGAUGAACAAUUGCGAAAGCAUUUGCCAAGAAUGUUUUCAUUAAUCAAGAACGAAAGUUAGAGGUUCGAAGGCGAUCAGAUACCGCCCUAGUUCUAACGGUAAACUAUGCCAACCAGCGAUUCGCCGAAGUUCAUUUAAGACUCGGCGAGCAGCUUCCGGGAAACCAAAGUGUUUCGGUUCCGGGGGAAGUAUGGUUGCAAAGCUGAAACUUAAAGGAAUUGACGGAAGGGCACCACCAGGUGUGGAGCCUGCGGCUUAAUUUGACUCAACACGGGAAAACUCACCCGGCCCGGACACUGGAAGGAUUGACAGAUUGACAGCUCUUUCUUGAUUCAGUGGGUAGUGGUGCAUGGCCGUUCUUAGUUG
rnacentral:rRNA from 1 species